rnacentral:rRNA from 1 species
GAUGAACGCUGGCGGCGUGCCUAAUACAUGCAAGUCGAGCGAACGGACGAGAAGCUUGCUUCUCUGAUGUUAGCGGCGGACGGGUGAGUAACACGUGGAUAACCUACCUAUAAGACUGGGAUAACUUCGGGAAACCGGAGCUAAUACCGGAUAAUAUUUUGAACCGCAUGGUUCAAAAGUGAAAGACGGUCUUGCUGCCACUUAUAGAUGGAUCCGCGCUGCAUUAGCUAGUUGGUAAGGUAACGGCUUACCAAGGCAACGAUGCAUAGCCGACCUGAGAGGGUGAUCGGCCACACUGGAACUGAGACACGGUCCAGACUCCUACGGGAGGCAGCAGUAGGGAAUCUUCCGCAAUGGGCGAAAGCCUGACGGAGCAACGCCGCGUGAGUGAUGAAGGUCUUCGGAUCGUAAAACUCUGUUAUUAGGGAAGAACAUAUGUGUAAGUAACUGUGCACAUCUUGACGGUACCUAAUCAGAAAGCCACGGCUAACUACGUGCCAGCAGCCGCGGUAAUACGUAGGUGGCAAGCGUUAUCCGGAAUUAUUGGGCGUAAAGCGCGCGUAGGCGGUUUUUUAGUCUGAUGUGAAAGCCCACGGCUCAACCGUGGAGGGUCAUUGGAAACUGGAAAACUUGAGUGCAGAAGAGGAAAGUGGAAUUCCAUGUGUAGCGGUGAAAUGCGCAGAGAUAUGGAGGAACACCAGUGGCGAAGGCGACUUUCUGGUCUGUAACUGACGCUGAUGUGCGAAAGCGUGGGGAUCAAACAGGAUUAGAUACCCUGGUAGUCCACGCCGUAAACGAUGAGUGCUAAGUGUUAGGGGGUUUCCGCCCCUUAGUGCUGCAGCUAACGCAUUAAGCACUCCGCCUGGGGAGUACGACCGCAAGGUUGAAACUCAAAGGAAUUGACGGGGACCCGCACAAGCGGUGGAGCAUGUGGUUUAAUUCGAAGCAACGCGAAGAACCUUACCAAAUCUUGACAUCCUUUGACAACUCUAGAGAUAGAGCCUUCCCCUUCGGGGGACAAAGUGACAGGUGGUGCAUGGUUGUCGUCAGCUCGUGUCGUGAGAUGUUGGGUUAAGUCCCGCAACGAGCGCAACCCUUAAGCUUAGUUGCCAUCAUUAAGUUGGGCACUCUAAGUUGACUGCCGGUGACAAACCGGAGGAAGGUGGGGAUGACGUCAAAUCAUCAUGCCCCUUAUGAUUUGGGCUACACACGUGCUACAAUGGACAAUACAAAGGGCAGCGAAACCGCGAGGUCAAGCAAAUCCCAUAAAGUUGUUCUCAGUUCGGAUUGUAGUCUGCAACUCGACUACAUGAAGCUGGAAUCGCUAGUAAUCGUAGAUCAGCAUGCUACGGUGAAUACGUUCCCGGGUCU